UUUUCAAAAAAUUGGAAAUUUUAAGAAAUUCAACAACCAAUCCGUCCGCUCUAGACUUUUAUCCAUGAUUUCCGAUUUAACAAUAAAAAUGACACUCUUGGUACGAAAGCUAAGCAAAUCCAAAACCUUCAGACCCUUCAUUGAUUGCAGUUAAUAACAUGCUUCUGAGUUGUUCAUAUGUGUCAUAUUCAGGCAAAUCCAGUUGGUUAAAACAUGUGUGGGAUUGCGGUAAACGAUUUAAAGAUCCAUAGCUCUUAUGAAUAUUAAAUCUUUGAAAUCCUGACAUACCCUCAAGUUCUUUAAAUCCAUUCAAGGGGACCUUCGAGGUACCUGUUGCAAAUUGUAAUAGUUUAGCACGCUCCUCUUCAUCGAAAGAACGAACAGCUCGCCAAAACCAUUGAACUUGAGGCGAAGAUACAUUAUAACCAUGAUACUCUGUGUUAUUUUUCCAGUCAUCGAUAUCAAUCUCUGGCAAACCAGAAAUCAAGAGUUCUAAUUCUUGCUCGUUGAAUAUUUGUAUUAAAU